rnacentral:sRNA from 1 species
UUCUCAGAACGUAAGUUCGGGGACGAGGUCCUUCUGUAGUCACACUUACUGAAGCCUUUGCGGCCCCUUUAGGGGUUGCUGCCGCGACUGAAAAUAAUGGUGGCCGAGCGCAAGUCAGCACCCGCUGGCAACAUAAUCGAAUUGCGGGGAGCCCUAAAGCUACACAGUACCAACCUGAGGGAGAAAUCCUGAAGGGGCCUAUGCUAAUCACAUGGGGUGGUCAUAACCUGUGCAGAUGCUACAAUGGGUAAUCCGCAGCGAAGCUCCUACGGCCCACGCUAUGGAGAACGUUCACAGACUAAGUGGUUAUGGGUAUAGGCCAGCCUAUACUUGAGAUAUAGUCGGGUCCUGGGAGAAAUCCCAGGCGUCAAGUCACUACAACCGUUCCGUAGGUGAACCUGCGGAAGGAUCAUUACAGAGUUCAUGCCCUCACGGGUAGAUCUCCCACCCUUGUGAAUCUCAUCAUCUGUUGCUUUGGCGGGCUCACCCCCGCCAGAGGACCCUAAAACUCUGAAUGUUAGUGUCGUCUGAGUACUAUAUAAUAGUUAAAACUUUCAACAACGGAUCUCUUGGUUCUGGCAUCGAUGAAGAACGCAGCGAAAUGCGAUAAGUAAUGUGAAUUGCAGAAUUCAGUGAAUCAUCGAAUCUUUGAACGCACAUUGCGCCCCUUGGUAUUCCGGGGGGCAUGCCUGUUCGAGCGUCAUUAAUACCAAUCUAGCCUCGCUAGGUGUUGGGCCUCGCCGUCUGGCGGGCCUUAAAACCAGUGGCGGUGCCUCCAGGCUCUACGCGUAGUAAUUCUCUCGCUAUAGACCCCUAGAGGAUGCUGGCCAGCAACCCCUAAUUUUUUCAGGUUGACCUCGGAUCAGGUAGGGAUACCC